rnacentral:rRNA from 1 species
UACGUAGGUGGCGAGCGUUGUCCGGAUUUACUGGGCGUAAAGGGAGCGUAGGCGGGCUCUUAAGUGAGAUGUGAAAUACUCGGGCUCAACUUGAGUGCUGCAUUUCAAACUGGAAGUCUAGAGUGCAGGAGAGGAGAAUGGAAUUCCUAGUGUAGCGGUGAAAUGCGUAGAGAUUAGGAAGAACACCAGUGGCGAAGGCGAUUCUCUGGACUGUAACUGACGCUGAGGCUCGAAAGCGUGGGGAGCAAACAGG